GCAAUGUCUCGCCUUUUGUGAAACAGCGGAGGGAUCAUUA
rnacentral:rRNA from 1 species